GUUAAGAAUCCAUAGUUAUGGAGGAACGUGUAUCGUAACUGAGGUUACGGAAAAACGGAUCUAUAUGUAGAAUGAGUAUGCGCGCAUGAGUAUUAGAUAGGUUUGAUAGAGUUAAUGGGUUGUGUCUGAUCAACCAGCCCAGGUGUCUUAGGUAGAAGAUAUCAACAAUUCUAGAGAAAUACCUGUAAAUGAUAAGAUAAGAAGAAAGAUCCGUAUAUGUCAUGGAUGGCAUUCAAUGAGGAGGGGAGAGUGAUACCGUAAUGAACGAUAAUAUAUGCGAACAGUUUAGAGACUGGUACGAGCGACCAGCGGCGCGCCUCGCGUGCUCAGAAAACGUUCGAGAAACGUUGCGUUUUGAACUAGUGUUAUUCUAGAAUAUAUCUUAGUAUUAUAAACAUAUUUGAAGCGAUUCUAUACAUAAUAAAACGAUAAAAGUCAUAAAACAUCGUGUGUAGUAUCGAGUAAAGUCAACAC